rnacentral:lncRNA from 1 species
AAGGUUCAUGGUUAAGAGAUGUGGUGCAGCUGUUCUUUUAUCUCCUACUCAGAGUGGAAAUAGCCUUACCAGAGCAAGGCACAGUGAACAAUAGAAGGAAUAUUUUUUAAAAAUGUGCCUCUGCAAAGGAUUGAUCAGUGGCUUAACAAAGAUUGACAUCAGCGUGACAUUCUCUCCAGCAAUGCACAAGGCCGCACAGAAAAAUCUUCCCUAUUUACAAGCACAGUCAACCUUUCAUCUCUGAUUUCCCCUGAAGACCGCAGUGACCCUCUUAAAAUAUACUGCAGGG